AUUGAACGCUGGCGUCAGGCCUAACACAUGCAAGUCGAACGAGUGGCGGACGGGUGAGUAAUGUCUGGGAAACUGCCCGAUUGCGGGGGAUAACUACUGGAAACGGUAGCUAAUACCGCAUACCAUCGGAUGUGCCCAGAGGGGAUUAGCUAGUAGGUGGGGUAACGGCUAACCUAGGCGACGAUCCCUAGCUGGUCUGAGAGGAGGACAGGCCACACUGGAACUGAGACACGGACCAGACUCCUACGAGAGGCAACAGUGGGGAAUGUUGCACAAUGGGCGCAAGCCUGAUGCAGCCAUGCCGCGUGUAUGAAGAAGGCCUUCGAGUUGUAAAGUACUUUCAGCGAGGAGGCGUUACUCGCAGAAGAAGCACCGGCUAACUCCGUGCCAGCCGCCGCGGUAAUUC
rnacentral:rRNA from 1 species